CAAGCCAGAGAGAAAACAAAACCGCAGUCACACUCUCAGAAGUCAUGCUAUAGACACACAAACUUGGAAGGAGUCUGCUCCUGUACGCUGGUGAGUCACCCACUCCCGCCUCCUGAGAUCGGAGGCCAGGCUAGCUUUUGCGAGAGAAUGCAGAUCAUAUAAAGGACCUCACUGCAGAACUUCUACUGAUUUAUGACAGGUCACCUCCCCUCUCUGGAGCUGUGCCUCCCAUCCAUGAGUUGAUUCUAGAACAGCACCAUUUGCAGAAAAAUGGACAUGAAUCGCUCAGCUACACCGUGGUACCAGCAGAGGUGGAAGAUGGGAGGGCACACAGCAUGCCAUGGAUUCCACCAUAGAGAUACCUGAUGCCCUGGAGAAAAGUACCACUCUACCCGUCACGUGGGAUCCUGGACCUCUACUUCCCACCUGUGUUCUAGCAAUAGCAAUGCGUUGUGACGUUCUCUCCCUCCCUCCCCUCCUCUCUCUCAACUUUGAAAGCAAACAUGCCAAAAUCAAAAUAUAACCCUGUUGCCUUGACCAUCAUCCUGUUACCAGCUUGCACAUAAUCUACAACAGCAAGUAUGUCCUGCUAUCUGAGGGUUCUGUGCAGGAAGACUGGAGCCUGUCACCACAGAAAGCCAGAGUUACCACCAAGGUCCUAGUGUGACAUUAACACAUUUCACUGUAAUGAGUGAGUCUGUCUCUGGCUAAAAAUAUUGUGGAAAUUAUGACCAUAGCCAAGAUUGUAACUAUUACCACCACAGUGAUGUAGGCAUCAUGGAACUGACCAAAGCUGCCAUACUAGUGGGUCUUCCUUAGCCAGAAACAUGGCAGGGAGGGCCACUGUGCCCUCCCUUUCUCCAAUGAUUAGAUAAAAUGAAUACUUCCAAAUUUCCCUUUAAAAAUAACCCAAAAAAACUGGAUAGCUGUAUGAGUAAGAUAUUAUUGAAUCAAAACACAGUGCCAGGAGAAGGAAGGAGGAGACUGAAAGAAGGUGUAGACAUCUGACUCCUUAAGAAAACCUGAGUCUGGAUUCCUGUCUGCAGAGAGUAACCCAGAAAUCAAGUCGAGACCUUUGGGUGGAAACCAGAUGCCCUGGCUUAAUGGGAUGACAUUCUCUCCCCAACCUCUCUGCAGCAAAGCUCUGGUGCUCUGUAAAGAGAGGCAUCAGGUUAAGAGCUGUCAAGACAAAAAUGCACACUAUACUGACUGCGGAGUGCAUCUCAAUGCUGCAGGUGAAGCAGGUGGGUUUGAGCCCUUGACUUUCCUCUGUGGUAGUUUAAAUAUAAUUGACCCCAUCCGCUCAUGGGCAAUGUCAUUAUUAGGAGGUGUCGUCUUAUUGGAGGAAGUGUGUCCUUGUGGGUGUGGGCUUUGAGGUCUCCUUUGCUUGUUUCACUCACUGUGACACUCAGACCACUUCCUGUUGCCUGUGAGUCAAGAAGUAGGACUCACUCUCAGCUCCUUCUCCAGCACCAUGUCCCACCAUGAUGAUCGACUAAACCUCUGAAAAUGUAAGCCACUCUAAUUAAAUGUUUUUUCUUUAUAAGAGUUGCCAUGGUCCUGAUGUCUCUUCACAGCAAUAGAAACCCUAAGACACUACCUUUACUUCCUUGUUCAUGGAAUAUGCAGCCUUAACUGUGCUCUGUUACCUCCAUAAACUGGAGUGUAAGGUAGCAGCCUCUCUCACCUCCCAGGGGACAGAAACACCUGCCAAACACUCAGCUCUGUGGUACCUGCCACGUAUUUAGUGCUCAGUGUGUGUUUGAACGAUUUUAUAACCAUUCAAAGCACAACCACAGGCUCCUUGUACCAAAACAACAUGCACACUUGAGUGUACACACACACACACACACACACACACACACACACACACACACACACAAUUUGGUGGUAAAUAGAACAAUGACAGUGAAUCCUGCCAUUGCUCUUUGGCUGAAAUUUCUGCAGUGUGGGUAAAUGUUGCAUAAACCAGGACUGAUAAUUCUCUUGGACAUGGCAGCAUUUUCUUCAAGAAAGGAGCAUGAUGCAGUAAAAAUAAAUCUUCCACAAAUGAUGGGUUUAAUUUUUAAAAGUCCCUGCUUCUCUAACGCACCUGGGGGCAUACUCUCUGCCCUUAGUUCACUUCUGUGAUUUGCUGAGAAGACUUUAAAUAACCUAAUUUCCUGGAAAAUGCUAGGAAGUAAAGCAAAAUGGAUCCUUAAAUCAAGUGUGCCCACACAUCAGCAGGCAUCAUUCUAUGGGACAGAUGUUUAGCAAAGCAAAUUUAGGUAAGUACUGGGCCAAUGGCACCCAGGUGAGGUUCAGCUUAUUAGGAGAAUGGCCACUGAUGAAGACAACACUCAGAUCCUUGGAGGACCCAAUCCCAUCAAGUCUAACAGUAGAAAACUGUAGAUCUGUCAUGACUUAGCCCUGUCUCCUUGACACACAAUUUUCUGUGAGCUAAGAAAUGUAUUUCUUUUCUGGGACAUGGAGUAUGUUUUAUUUAAAUUGUAAGUGAUGCAAUUAACCCAGUAAAUGAGACUUGUCUGAACAAUGGGUUUCAGCUGGGGUGUCUUGGGAGACCGGGGAUUCUCCCUGUCAUGGGCCUUGUCUCUGGUCUCUUUCCUCCAGGAGUAACACUGGGCACACUGUAAGGCUAUGGCCAUGACUCAGUAGGUGAAGUGAUGGCCACUCAAGUGUAAGGACCUGAGUUUGAAUUCCUAGGACUCACGUAAAAAAUCCUGAGGAGUUAGUGCACAUAUGUAACCAUAGCACACCUGCGAAAAGAGACUCACCCUACUGUCAAAACCACAUGCCUCAGCAAGGUGGAAAGACAAGUAGUCCUUGAAGGCUGUUCUGAUUGCCACAUGUGUGCACACAGCAUGUACAAGAAGGUACAAUUCAAGGACUGAGCAUAGGAAUAGAAGCUCACAUUCCAAGAGGCACAUUUGUGGACAAGAGAAUGAGUUGAGUUUAUGGAGGAUGAGAUGUUUUCUAGAAAGACAACACUUAGCCGUCAAAUGUAAGGUUAACCAAUGUAACUCUCAUGAUGGUACCCCACUCCUGGAGUGUAUCUGUGAUAAAUUUGGACAAGCACUACAGGGUUAGCCAUGCAGGCACAUCUGUGCCAUGUCAUGUGGGAUGAUACCCAGGGAACUGUAAAGUGUCAGUGGAUCCAAUUCUUGCUGCCAAGUGAGAGUCACCUCUAGAUACUGCCCACACCUGCACGGAAUGGAUUCCAGGUCCCUAUGUGUGACGAGAGGGAAAUCAUGCAGUUAUUUGUGCCACAUGUCUCCGAAAGGCUCCAGACAUAGUUCAGAGUCAGAAUGUGGAGUUUUCAGUAACUGGUGGCUAAAUGAGAUGACUUCCUUAGGUUCACAAAAAGGCAGCUUUUAGGGUGGCUGCUUUGGAGGAGCCAGUUCUGUGGGCAUAAAUUACUGUGCACAACUCCUCCUGGAUCACAUGGCCUAUUAGUCCCAGUUUGGCACUGUACAGAGGUGGCAUUGCUAAAAAGGACUAAGAAGCCUCAACAUGAGGGAAUCCACUGGGUGGAUGUUUACAGGCUCUGGGAGUACCCGAAGUAUGUGUGCAAGGCACUGAGCAUUGGUGCAUAUCCUGGGGUUCACAGCUCCUGUCAGAUUCUCAAGUAAGUCCACAGCCUAGAUACGUUUGGGAUGUGCCUGUUGCCCUACAGCAAGAUAAACCAAGGCAGGCCAAAAAAACAAAACAAAAAACAAAUGGAAGAGAGAACUGUCAGCAGUCCACAAAACCAACUGAAGACACAUCUAAGGAUCCUAACUGGUAGUGAGUAUGAAGAGAGUGUUGUGAGCAUGCAAGGAAUGAGAGAUUCACAAAAGGAAAGCUACAUUGAUUUGAUAUUCAAAACCAGAGUUCCUGAUAUGCCAGAAGUCAAGAUAGAAUUAUAACAAAGGAUGGAAAUUACUUUGAAAAAGAAACUUGUAUUUACAUCAGCAAAGAAGACUCAACAGUGAAGUUAAAAAGGAGCUAUGGACAGCACCUGAUAAUUCACAGAGUGCACUGCUAAGGCAGUGCCAUGGAGCUUAUGGAUAUGAGCUCAUGAUGGCCAGUUCUGGACUCCUUGUGCAGUAACAUGUCGAUAGCUUGAAACUGGCCAGGAUACAAGUUUUCAGAAGAGAAAUUAGCUGAAAGCUCCCCCCGCCGCCAAAGAGCUCCUAGAUAUGAACUAGUUUGAGUGUUAUCGGCAAUAAAAGAAAAAGGAAGUUAGGUUGUGACAAGAUGGAAUAAACAUAGCUUACCUUAUUCCUUUUGGUGCUUGCAACAAAAAGAUCAUCAAGCAAUUGACAGAAAUUGAAAAUUAAAGAAAAAGACUACCUGGAGAACUCUGGACUCAAGGAACUACCCAGUGGUGGACCCUUCUGUGUGCACAUGGGUGCACGCUAGAGCCCCAGCCAGGAUGUAUAAAAGGAACAACAAGAAAAUAUGUAAGUCUAUACAAUCUGGAAAUAACUAAAUGGCUCCAAAGAAAUAAAAAUAAACUCAAGAAAGCCUCCCCUCUGUGGUGAUAAGCCUGGGAAGAAUGAUGUCCAGAAAAAAAAAUUGACCAUAUAUGAUUUUAGUCCAGCUCAA